rnacentral:miRNA from 1 species
UUUGGAUGUUGAUGUGUGUGUGUGUGUUUGUGUAUCUCAAAGACACAAGCACACACACAUCAUCAACUUCCAAAAA